UACAGAGGAUGCAAGCGUUAUCCGGAAUGAUUGGGCGUAAAGCGUCUGUAGGUGGCUUUUUAAGUCCGCCGUCAAAUCCCAGGGCUCAACUCUGGACAGGCGGUGGAAACUACCAAGCUGGAGUACGGUAGGGGCAGAGGGAAUUUCCGGUGGAGCGGUGAAAUGCGUAGAGAUCGGAAGGAACAUCAGUGGCGAAAGCGACUUCCUGGACCAGUACCGACGUUCAGGCACGAAAGCGUGGGGAGCAAACAGG
rnacentral:rRNA from 1 species